rnacentral:rRNA from 1 species
CGCGUGCGCUGGCUCGGCUGGGUCUUUCCUUCUGGAUAACCGCGUGCCCUUCACUGGGUGUGCCGGGGAACCACGACUUUUACUCUGAAGAAUUAUAUCGCUUAAAGAAGGCCUAUGCUCGAAUACAUUAGCAUGUAAUAAUAGAAUAGGACGUGUGGUUCUAUUUUGUUGGUUUCUACGACCGCCGUAAUGAUUAAUAGGGACAGUCGGGGGCAUCAGUAUUCAAUUGUCAGAGGUGAAAUUCUUGGAUUUAUUGAAGACUAACUACUGCGAAAGCAUUUGCCAAGGAUGUUUUCAUUAAUCAUGAACGAAAGUUAUGGGAUCGAAAACGAUCAUAUACCGUCGAAGUCUUAACCAUAAACUAUGCACAUUAGGGAUCGGACGGCGUUAUUUUUUGACCCGUUCGGCACCUUACGAUAAAUCAAAAUGUUUGGGCUCGGGGGGGAGUAUGGUAGCAAGGCUGAAACUUAAAGAAAUUGACUGAAGGGCACCACCAGGGGUGGAGCCUGCGGCUUAAUUUGACUCAACAGGGGGAAACUCACCACGUCCCGACAAGAGGAGGAUUGACACAUUGAGAGCUCUUUCUUGAUUUCGUGGGGGGUGGUGCAUGGCCGUUGUUAGUUGAGGGAGUGAUUUGUUUUAUUAAGUGCGAUAACGAGACAGACCCCAACCUGUAAAAUAGCCCGUAAUGCUUGGGCAAUACCCCGGCUUAGAAGAGGGACCAUCGG